UCCCGUUGAUCCUGUGGGAGAUAGCUGCUAUUUGGAUUCGACUUAGCCAUGCAAGUUUGGGGGUCUUCGGACCACCGGCAAAAUGCUCAGUAACACGUCGUUAACUUGCCCUUUGGUCAAACAUAGCCUCGGGAAACUGAGGGUAAUAUUUGAUAGGAAAUUAUAUCUGGGAUGGUUUUUUUCUGAAACUCGUGCCAAAGGAUAGGACGGCGGCUGAUUAGAUUGUUGGUGAGGUAACGGCUCACCAAGUCUGAGAUCAGUAGGGGCCUUGAAAGAGGGAGCCCCGAGAAGGACACUGAGAUACUGGUCCUAGCCCUACGGGGUGCAGCAGGCGCGAAACCUUUACAAUGCACGCAAGUGUGAUAAGGGGAUCCAAAGUGCUCAUGUUCGCAUGGGCUUUUGCCAAGAGUAAAUAUCUAGGCGAAUAAGUGGUGGGUAAGACUGGUGCCAGCAGCCGCGGUAACACCAGCGCCACGAGUGGCUAUCGCAUAUUCGGCCUAAAGCGUUCGUAGCCGGGUUGUUAAAUUCCUUGUGAAAUCGUAGAGCUCAACUUUACGAACUGCAGAGAAGACUAGCAACCUUGAGACCGGGAGGAGUCAGAAGUAUGUCUAGGGGACUGGUAAAAUGGAAUAAUCCUAGAUAGACUACCUGUGGCGAAGGCGUCUGACCAGAACGGAUCUGACGGUGAGGGACGAAAGCUAGGGGAGCGAACCGGAUUAGAUACCCGAGUAGUCCUAGCUGUAAACGUUGCGAGCUAGGUGUUGCAUAUCCUCCGUGGAUAUGCAGUGUCGGAGCGAAGGCGUUAAGCUCGCCGCCUGGGAAGUACGGUCGCAAGACUGAAACUUAAAGGAAUUGGCGGGGGAGCACUACAAGGGGUGCGGCGUGCGGUUUAAUCUAACUCCACACAGAGAAUCUCACUAGGGGCGACGGCAGUAUGAUAGUCAGUUUGAAGGGCUUACUUGACGAGCCGAGAGGUAGUGCAUGGCCGCCGUCAGCUCGCGCCGUAAGGUGUCCAGCUAAGCCUGGUAACGAGCGAGACCUGUAUCUACAAUUGCUAGCGACUAAUUUUUAGGAUCGUGCACUUUGUAGAGACUGCUUCCGCAAGGAAGAGGAAGGUGCAGGCUACGGUAGGUCUGUAUGCUCCGAAUCUCCUAGGCUACACGCGCGCAGCAAUGAUUGAGACAAUGGGCUACAACACCGAAAGGUGAAGUCAAUCCUUGAAACUCAAUCUUAGUACAGAUUGAGGGCUGUAACUCGCCCUCAUGACGAUGGAAUCCCUAGUAAUCAGAGGUCAUCAGCUUCUGGUGAAUAUGUCCCUGCUCCUUGCACACACCGCCCGUCAAACCAACCGAGCAGGGUUUAAGUGAGAUCUACCUUAAAUAGCUCGAACUUAAGCUCAGUGAGGUGGGUUAAGUCGUCACAAGGUA
rnacentral:rRNA from 1 species